rnacentral:rRNA from 1 species
GACGAACGCUGGCGGCAGGCUUAACACAUGCAAGUCGAACGCGUGUAGCAAUACACGAGUGGCGCACGGGUGAGUAACGCGUGGAUAUCUGCCUUUUGGUUCGGAAUAACCCCGGGAAACUGGGGCUAAUACCGGAUGGUUCCUUCGGGAUAAAGAUUUAUCGCCAAAAGAUGAGUCCGCGUACGAUUAGCUAGUUGGUGAGGUAAUGGCUCACCAAGGCGACGAUCGUUAGCUGGUCUGAGAGGACGAUCAGCCACACUGGGACUGAGACACGGCCCAGACUCCUACGGGAGGCAGCAGUGGGGAAUAUUGGACAAUGGGGGCAACCCUGAUCCAGCCAUGCCGCGUGAGUGAUGAAGGCCUUCGGGUUGUAAAGCUCUUUUGGCGGGGACGAUGAUGACGGUACCCGCAGAAUAAGCCCCGGCUAACUUCGUGCCAGCCGCCGCAGUAAUAC